rnacentral:rRNA from 1 species
GAUGAACGCUAGCGACAGGCCUAACACAUGCAAGUCGAGGGGCAUCGGGGUGUAGCAAUACGCUGCCGGCGACCGGCGGAUGGGUGAGUAACGCGUAUGCAACCUGCCUUCAGCAGGGGGAUAGCCCGUUGAAAGACGGAUUAAUACCCCAUAACACAGGGGCUCCGCAUGGAGAUUAUUGUUAAAGGGAUACUUCCUUCGGGGGGUAUUCCGGCUGAAGAUGGGCAUGCGUUCCAUUAGGUAGUUGGUUGAGGUAACGGCUCACCAAGCCUGCGAUGGAUAGGGGAACUGAGAGGUUGGUCCCCCACACUGGUACUGAGACACGGACCAGACUCCUACGGGAGGCAGCAGUGAGGAAUCUUGGUCAAUGGACGGAAGUCUGAACCAGCCAUGUCGCGUGAAGGAGGACGGCCCUAAGGGUUGUAAACUUCUUUGCAGGGGAAUAAAGUAUUCCACGAGAUGGGAUAUUGCAAGUACGCUGCGAAUAAGGAUCGGCUAACUCCGUCG